CGCCCCGGCGGCCCCCAGGGCCAGGGACCCGGCUCCGGCCCGGGUUCCGGUUCCGGUUCCGCCCCGGGCCCGGCCGA
rnacentral:tRNA from 1 species